rnacentral:rRNA from 1 species
GGUCGCGCGGAUCUUCAGAGAUUAGAGUUUGAUCAUGGCUCAGAUUGAACGCUGGCGGAAUGCUUUACACAUGCAAGUCGAACGGCAGCACGGACUUCGGUCUGGUGGCGAGUGGCGAACGGGUGAGUAACAUAUCGGAACGUAUCCAAUAAUGGGGGAUAACUAAUCGAAAGGUUGGCUAAUACCGCAUACGCCCUGAGGGGGAAAGCUAGGGAUCUUCGGACCUGGCGUUAAUGGAGCGGCCGAUAUCUGAUUAGCUAGUUGGUGGGGUAAAGGCCCACCAAGGCGACGAUCAGUAGCUGGUCUGAGAGGACGACCAGCCACACUGGAACUGAGACACGGUCCAGACUCCUACGGGAGGCAGCAGUGGGGAAUUUUGGACAAUGGGCGCAAGCCUGAUCCAGCCAUUCCGCGUGAGUGAAGAAGGCCUUCGGGUUGUAAAGCUCUUUCGCAAGGGAAGAAAACUUAUCCUCUAACAUAGGAUGAGGUUGACGGUACCUUGAUAAGAAGCACCGGCUAACUACGUGCCAGCAGCCGCGGUAAUACGUAGGGUGCGAGCGUUAAUCGGAAUUACUGGGCGUAAAGCGUGCGCAGGCUGUUUUGUAAGUCAGAUGUGAAAUCCCCGAGCUCAACUUGGGAACUGCGUUUGAAACUACAAGACUAGAAUAGGUCAGAGGGGGGUAGAAUUCCACGUGUAGCAGUGAAAUGCGUAGAGAUGUGGAGGAAUAUCAAUGGCGAAGGCAGCCCCCUGGGAUCAUAUUGACGCUCAUGCACGAAAGCGUGGGGAGCAAACAGGAUUAGAUACCCUGGUAGUCCACGCCCUAAACGAUGUCUACUAGUUGUUGGUGGAGUAAAAUCCAUGAGUAACGCAGCUAACGCGUGAAGUAGACCGCCUGGGGAGUACGGUCGCAAGAUUAAAACUCAAAUGAAUUGACGGGGGCCCGCACAAGCGGUGGAUUAUGUGGAUUAAUUCGAUGCAACGCGAAAAACCUUACCUGGCCUUGACAUGUACGG